rnacentral:rRNA from 1 species
GACGAACGCUGGCGGCGUGCUUAACACAUGCAAGUCGAGCGGUAAGGCCCUUUCGGGGGUACACGAGCGGCGAACGGGUGAGUAACACGUGGGUGACCUGCCCUCAGCUCUGGGAUAAGCCUGGGAAACCGGGUCUAAUACCGGAUAUGACUCCAUGACGCAUGUUGUGGGGUGGAAAGCCUUGUGCGGCUGAGGAUGGGCCCGCGGCCUAUCAGCUUGUUGGUGGGGUGAUGGCCUACCAAGGCGACGACGGGUAGCCGGCCUGAGAGGGCGACCGGCCACACUGGGACUGAGACACGGCCCAGACUCCUACGGGAGGCAGCAGUGGGGAAUCUUGCGCAAUGGGCGAAAAGCCUGAACGCAGCGACGCCGCGUGAGGGAUG